CCGCUCCAAGAAACGCCGCCUUCGAGCGCAGGGCGGCCGUGUUCGGGUUCUCUUCUUUCGUAUUCUUUAAUUCUUUCGAUCGUUUGCUCCUCUCAAUCUAUUCUUUCCUCCUCGUUAUGACUUCUCCCCCUUUCUAGUUUCUACCAGAACCCUCAAUACUGAAGGAUUCUUGGAUCGGAACUGCCGUUCUUUAUCCGCAGGAGAAUUACGACAUGUUUAUCGCCUUUGGGAGGCAGGAAGCGGAAAGAUCGCCUCCAUUCCAAAGGGAAGGAGGCCAAGGCAGCGACAACCUAUAUUGCUUCUCUUAUUUGGACCGUUUGGAAUCUACGUAUCUUUCAGCAUAAACACUGUACACCAGAGGACUUGCUAAGACUCGGCCUAUGCUUUAGCCAGGAUAUGUUUCAACAAGACCAGAUUGGUAUUCUACCACUGUUGGUUCUUCGUCGAAGGUCUGGGGUAGUCCUAAGCUGUUCGAUCAGCCUUGUUCAAUAUCUAAUUUUGUUUCUUGGACGCCGGCUCCUUUGGAGUGCUAAUGGUAAAUUUUGAUGGCAUGGUACGAGAGCAUAAAGCCGCAGCAGGGUUAUCUUCCGAAACGAUGACAUGCUACUCGCUGGAGGCAAAAUGCUGUCCCAUUCUGCUGUUCCGUAUGCAGAACUUGUAGGUGCCUGGCUUGACUUCACAAACUUAUGUGUUAUUUUAACGCCCCCAAGAAGUUUGGUUGCAAGGAGACUCAGCUGUUGCCGUUACAUGGCUUACUUCUUGUUCCGAAGGUCGGAUGAAGCAUUCCCCUUCGUUUCAAGAUAUUUCCAUGUGGAGACACUCCUUUACUUCCUUUAAUGUGUCCCAUAUUUUUCGGGAGGGAAAUCAAGCAGUGGACUGGGUUGGUUUGCUCUGAAGUUCUCUUGCUUUAUUAUGUUUAUAUCACUUUUCAGUUCUUUCAUCGCAGGAAAUCUAAUCUGCAUCACUUAUGCUUAUAUGUGUUGGGGUCCCGGUGAUGCGAGUGUUCAAGGUUUAUGUCAUAAUUGUCUCUUUGGGCGUUCUUCAUGUUACAAGGUAUGAAUUUGUCUGCUCAAGCACAUCCACAGAUUACUGUAUCCAUCAAGAUUCAGAUUUCAAGCUUAUCCAAACCCUACUGGGCUGUGGUGAUCAGUGCAUAUGCUGUUUUUCAAAGGGCAGGCAGCUGUUCUCAUUCACCACUUUCAGCUCUCAUUGCUGCUUGCUAAUAGUAGGGGACUGCUAUUUCUCUUAUAUUUGGCUGCACUUACCUUGGAUACACGGCUGAUUGCGUAAGGCCACAGGGUGCUGCUUUGACACUAGGCGAUGCUACUAAUCUACUUUUCUGGAGGGUAUUUAAAUCUUUUCUAUAGACACUAAUUGGAUAAAGCAACUCUCUCUCUCUCUCUCUCUCUCUCUCUCUCUAAAUGGACUUCAUCGGCCCAACGUGCCCCAAGCUUUGCCCCUUUCAAGCUGAGGGUCGGAGAAGGAUGAUGUGCAUGUGGGUCGGAAAUAAAACGGUCCAUUCUCUUGGUGUCUUUUUCCUUCUUCUAUUUAAUUAUAUCAUUUUCCUAAUUUCAACGUCUGAAUGGAAGAGGGCAACACUGGCUUGUGAUGUUAGACAUGCUCUUGAAUGCGACCGACUUGGAUAUAUUGUUCCAUCUAGAGUUGAUCAUGGCCUGAACCUGGACUUCGGGCUGGAUCUAUUUAAAAUUUGUCAUUUUCUCUGCGCA